AACGAACGCUGGCGGCAUGCCUAACACAUGCAAGUCGAACGAGACCUUCGGGUCUAGUGGCGCACGGGUGCGUAACGCGUGGGAACCUGCCCUUAGGUUCGGAAUAACUCCCCGAAAGGGGUGCUAAUACCGGAUAAUUUCUUCGGACCAAAGAUUUAUCGCCUUUGGAUGGGCCCGCGUUGGAUUAGCUAGUUGGUAGGGUAAAAGCCUACCAAGGCGACGAUCCAUAGCUGGUCUGAGAGGAUGAUCAGCCACACUGGGACUGAGACACGGCCCAGACUCCUACGGGAGGCAGCAGUGGGGAAUAUUGGACAAUGGGCGAAAGCCUGAUCCAGCAAUGCCGCGUGAGUGAUGAAGGCCUUAGGGUUGUAAAGCUCUUUUACCCGGGAUGAUAAUGACAGUACCGGGAGAAUAAGCACCGGCUAACUCCGUG
rnacentral:rRNA from 1 species